CACGUAGGGUGCGAGCGUUGUCCGGAAUUAUUGGGCGUAAAGAGCUCGUAGGCGGUGUGUCGCGUCGGCCGUGAAAACCUGCAGCUUAACUGUGGGCUUGCGGUCGAUACGGGCAUCACUGGAGUUCGGCAGGGGAGACUGGAAUUCCUGGUGUAGCGGUGAAAUGCGCAGAUAUCAGGAGGAACACCGGUGGCGAAGGCGGGUCUCUGGGCCGAUGAUUGACGCUGAGGAGCGA
rnacentral:rRNA from 1 species